rnacentral:rRNA from 1 species
UACGUAGGGUGCGAGCGUUGUCCGGAAUUACUGGGCGUAAAGAGCUCGUAGGUGGUUUGUCGCGUUGUUCGUGAAAACUCACAGCUUAACUGUGGGCGUGCGGGCGAUACGGGCAGACUGGAGUACUGCAGGGGAGACUGGAAUUCCUGGUGUAGCGGUGGAAUGCGCAGAGUAUCAGGAGGAACACCGGUGGCGAGGGCGGGGUCUCGUGGGGCAGGUAACUGACGCUGAGGAGCGAAAAGCGUGGGGAGCGAACAGG